CUCGAGUGCCAGGUUACAAAUCUGGCUGUCGUGAUGCCUAAAAAGCAUUGCAUAGCAAGGGCCGGGCAAGACCGGUGCCAGCCGCCGCGGUAACACCGGCGGCUCGAGUGGUAACCGUUAUUAUUGGGUCUAAAGGGUCUGUAGCCGGCCGGGUAAGUCUCUUGGGAAAUCUGGCAGCUUAACUGUCAGGCUUUCAGGAGAUACUGUCUGGCUCGAGGCCGGGAGAGGUGAGAGGUACUUCAGGGGUAGGGGUGAAAUCUUGUAAUCCUUGAAGGACCACCAGUGGCGAAGGCGUCUCACCAGAACGGACCUGACGGCAAGGGACGAAAGCUAGGGGCACGAACCGGAUUAGAUACCCGGGUAGUCCUAGCCGUAAACGAUACUCGCUAGGUGUCGGCAACGGUGCGACCGUUGUCGGUGCCGUAGGGAAGCCGUGAAGCGAGCCACCUGGGAAGUACGGCCGCAAGGCUGAAACUUAAAGGAAUUGGCGGGGGAGCACCACAACGGGUGGAGCUUGCGGUUUAAUUGGAUUCAACGCCGGAAAUCUUACCGGGACCGACAGCAAUAUGAAGGCCAGGCUGAAGACUUUGCCGGAUUAGCUGAGAGGUGGUGCAUGGCCGUCGUCAGUUCGUACUGUGAAGCAUCCUGUUAAGUCAGGCAACGAGCGAGACCCACGCCCACAGUCGCCAGCGUACUCUCCGGAGUGACGGGUACACUGUGGGGACCGCCGCUGCUAAAGCGGAAGAAGGAAUGGGCAACGGUAGGUCAGUAUGCC
rnacentral:rRNA from 1 species